GGCAAAAAAAAAAGGAAAAAAUUAAGUAUUCAAAAUGGCGAGCAAAACAGGCAGAGUUGCAUCGUCGAAAGGAAGACUUAUUGCUGUGAUUGGAGACGAAGUUAGUUAUAUCUCUUUGUUUAUUUAAUACUAAUGUGAAAUUUAAAUCUUACUGAACUAGUGUUGUUUAUACAGGAUACCUGCACUGGUUUUCUCCUGGGUGGAAUUGGUGAAAUUAAUGAUAAAAGACAGAAAAACUUUUUUGUUGUAACCAAAGGUAAUAAUUUAGUUGAAUCGUAUUUUAAUAACUUCUUUAUUCU